CCCUCAGGAUAGCUGGAGCUCG
rnacentral:snRNA from 1 species